GAUGAACGCUAGCGACAGGCCUAACACAUGCAAGUCGAGGGGCAGCACGAAGUAAGCUUGCUUACUUUGGUGGCGACCGGCGCACGGGUGCGUAACAGGUGUGCAAUCUGUCCAUAAUCGGGGAAUAGCCCAGCGAAAGUUGGAUUAAUGCUCCAUGUGAGUUUUAGAGGCAUCUCUUUAAUUUGAAACGUAAGGAUUAUGGGUGAGCACGCUUCUGAUUAGGUAGUUGGAGGGGUAACGGCCCACCAAGGCGACGAUGCGUAGGGGUUCUGAGAGGAAGGUCCCCCACACUGGUACUGAGACACGGACCAGACUCCUACGGGAGGCAGCAGUGAGGAAUAUUGGUCAAUGGGCGGAGCCUGAACCAGCCAAGUCGCGUGAGGGAAGACGGCCCUACGGGUUGUAAACCUCUUUAGUCGGGGAGCAAAAAAGGAUCACGCGUGGUCCAUUGAGCGUACCCGAAGAAUAAGCAUCGGCUAACUCCGUG
rnacentral:rRNA from 1 species